rnacentral:misc_RNA from 1 species
AAAGUCGUAACAAGGUUUCCGUAGGUGAACCUGCGGAAGGAUCAUUAUCACGUGUUUAUACACGUAUCAACCAAACGCGAACAAUAUAUUUAAAUGACCUUUCUAGAUGUCAAGCGGUUUGAGUAUUGGCUGUGGUAGGCCUAAGACAUUACUCUUGAACCAGUUGAGUCUUGCUCUAGAAUUGUAUAACCUUCAAUGCACCUACCCUUGUUUGCAUUGGAAACCCUUUAAGUUUUACACUGCGGUGUAAAGCGGUAUUCACCAAUUUUAACCCCAACCAAUGUCACGCAAGUGGCAGAGGUCUCUUUUUAUUAUGACUAAUUUGGAUUGAGAGAAAUCUUAAUCUUUUACGAAACGCGAACAAUUCUUAGCAAUGGAUGUCUUGGUUCCG